AGCGAACGCUGGCGGCAGGCUUAACACAUGCAAGUCGAGCGGGCACUUUCGGGUGUCAGCGGCGGACGGGUGAGUAACGCGGGGGAACGUGCCCUCUGGUUCGGAAUAACUCAGGGAAACUUGAGCUAAUACCGGAUACGCCCUUUUGGGGAAAGGCUUGCUGCCGGAGGAUCGGCCCGCGUCUGAUUAGCUAGUUGGUUAGGUAACGGCUCACCAAGGCGACGAUCAGGAGCUGGUCUGAGAGGAUGAUCAGCCACACUGGGACUGAGACACGGCCCAGACUCCUACGGGAGGCAGCAGUGGGGAAUAUUGGACGAUGGGCGCAAGCCUGAUCCAGCCAUGCCGCGUGAGUGAUGAAGGCCUUAGGGUUGUAAAGCUCUUUUAUCCGGGACGAUAAUGGCGGUACCGGAGGAAUAAGCCCCGGCUAACUUCGUG
rnacentral:rRNA from 1 species